AACUUUCAGCAACGGAUCACUUGGCUCUCGCAUCGAUGAAGAACGCAGCGAAGUGCGAUAAGUAAUGUGAAUUGCAGAAUUCAGUGAAUCAUCGAAUCUUUGAACGCACCUUGCGCCCUUUGGCUAUUCUGAAGGGCAUGCCUGUUUGAGUAUCAUGAACACCUCAACUCUCAUGGUCCGCCAUGAUGAGCUUGGACUUUGGGGGUCUUGCCGGCCCAGUGUCGGCUCCUCUCAAAUGGAUCAGCUUGCCAGUGUUUGGUGGCGUCACAGGUGUGAUAACUAUCUACGCUUGUGGUUUUCUGCCAUAUAACCUUCAGUGAUGGAGGUUCUCUGGAGCUCACAGAUGUCUCUCCUUGGGGAGGACAGCUUUUGAACGUUUGAUCUCAAAUCAGGUAGGACUACCCGCUGAACUUAAGCAUAUCAAUAAGCGGAGGC
rnacentral:misc_RNA from 1 species